GACGAACGCUGGCGGCGUGCUUAACACAUGCAAGUCGAACGGAAAGGCCCUGCUUUUGUGGGGUGCUCGAGUGGCGAACGGGUGAGUAACACGUGAGUAACCUGCCCUUGACUUUGGGAUAACUUCAGGAAACUGGGGCUAAUACCGGAUAGGAGCUCCUGCUGCAUGGUGGGGGUUGGAAAGUUUCGGCGGUUGGGGAUGGACUCGCGGCUUAUCAGCUUGUUGGUGGGGUAGUGGCUUACCAAGGCUUUGACGGGUAGCCGGCCUGAGAGGGUGACCGGCCACAUUGGGACUGAGAUACGGCGCAGACUCCUGCGGGAGGCAGCAGUGGGGAAUAUUGCACAAUGGGCGGAAGCCUGAUGCAGCAACGCCGCGUGCGGGAUGACGGCCUUCGGGUUGUAAACCGCUUUCGCCUGUGACGAAGCGUGAGUGACGGUAAUGGGUAAAGAAGCACCGGCUAACUACGUG
rnacentral:rRNA from 1 species